rnacentral:rRNA from 1 species
AACGAACGCUGGCGGCAUGCCUAACACAUGCAAGUCGAACGAGAUCCUUCGGGGUCUAGUGGCGCACGGGUGCGUAACGCGUGGGAAUCUGCCCUUAGGUUCGGAAUAACAGUUAGAAAUGACUGCUAAUACCGGAUGAUGACGUUAAGUCCAAAGAUUUAUCGCCUGAGGAUGAGCCCGCGUAGGAUUAGCUAGUUGGUGUGGUAAAGGCGCACCAAGGCGACGAUCCUUAGCUGGUCUGAGAGGAUGAUCAGCCACACUGGGACUGAGACACGGCCCAGACUCCUACGGGAGGCAGCAGUGGGGAAUAUUGGACAAUGGGCACAAGCCUGAUCCAGCAAUGCCGCGUGAGUGAUGAAGGCCUUAGGGUUGUAAAGCUCUUUUACCCGGGAUGAUAAUGACAGUACCGGGAGAAUAAGCCCCGGCUAACUCCGUG